rnacentral:rRNA from 1 species
GACGAACGCUGGCGGCGUGCUUAACACAUGCAAGUCGAACGGUGAAGCGCCUUCCUUUUUGGUGGGUGUGGAUGAGUGGCGAACGGGUGAGUAACACGUGAGUAACCUGCCCCCUUCUUCUGGAUAACCGCAUGAAAGUGUGGCUAAUACGGGAUAUUCUGGGUCUGUCGCAUGAUGGGUCUGGGAAAGAUAUUGUUUCGGUGGGGGAUGGGCUCGCGGCCUAUCAGCUUGUUGGUGGGGUGAUGGCCUACCAAGGCGGUGACGGGUAGCCGGCCUGAGAGGGUGGACGGUCACACUGGGACUGAGACACGGCCCAGACUCAUACGGGAGGCAGCAGUGGGGAAUAUGGCACAAUGGGCGCAAGCCUGAUGCAGCGACGCCGCGGGAGGGAUGGAGGCCUUCGGGUUGUGAACCUCUUUCGCCAGUGAAGCAGGCCUGCCUCGUUUGUGGGUGGGUUGACGGUAGCUGGAUAAGAAGCGCCGGCUAACUACGUG